rnacentral:rRNA from 1 species
AAUCAACGCUGGCGGCGUGCCUAACACAUGCAAGUCGAACGAGAAAGAGGGGGCAACUCCUCGAGUAAAGUGGCGACCGGGUGAGUAACACGUGACUAACCUACCCUUGAGUGGGGAAUAACCUUCCGAAAGGAGGGCUAAUACCGCAUAACAUCGCGAGGCGAGAUUCCUUGUGAUCAAAGGAGCAAUUCGCUUAAGGAGGGGGUCGCGGCUGAUUAGCUAGUUGGUGAGGUAACGGCUCACCAAGGCGAUGAUCAGUAUCCGGCCUGAGAGGGCGCACGGACACACUGGAACUGAAACACGGUCCGGACUCCUACGGGAGGCAGCAGUGGGGAAUUUUGCGCAAUGGGGGAAACCCUGACGCAGCAACGCCGCGUGGAGGAUGAAGGUCUUUGGAUUGUAAACUCCUUUCGAUCGGGACGAUUAUGACGGUACCGGAAGAAGAAGCACCGGCUAACUCUGUGCCAGCCGCCGCCGUAAGAC